rnacentral:rRNA from 1 species
GGUAAUGCCGGAUGCUCCAGUUGAUCGCAUGGUCUUCUGGGAAAGCUUUCGCGGUAUGGGAUGGGGUCGCGUCCUAUCAGCUUGACGGCGGGGUAACGGCCCACCGUGGCUUCGACGGGUAGCCGGCCUGAGAGGGCGACCGGCCACAUUGGGACUGAGAUACGGCCCAGACUCCUACGGGAGGCAGCAGUGGGGAAUAUUGCACAAUGGGCGCAAGCCUGAUGCAGCGACGCCGCGUGAGGGAUGGAGGCCUUCGGGUUGUAAACCUCUUUUAUCGGGGAGCAAGCGAGAGUGAGUUUACCCGUUGAAUAAGCACCGGCUAACUACGUGCCAGCAGCCGCGGUAAUACGUAGGGUGCAAGCGUUAUCCGGAAUUAUUGGGCGUAAAGGGCUCGUAGGCGGUUCGUCGCGUCCGGUGUGAAAGUCCAUCGCUUAACGGUGGAUCCGCGCCGGGUACGGGCGGGCUUGAGUGCGGUAGGGGAGACUGGAAUUCCCGGUGUAACGGUGGAAUGUGUAGAUUCGAGAGAGAGACCCCCACCCCUUU